rnacentral:rRNA from 1 species
AUUGAACGCUGGCGGCAUGCUUUACACAUGCAAGUCGAACGGUAACAGGUUAAGCUGACGAGUGGCGAACGGGUGAGUAAUGCAUCGGAACGUGCCCGAUCGUGGGGGAUAACGCAGCGAAAGCUGCGCUAAUACCGCAUACGAUCUGAGGAUGAAAGCGGGGGACCGUAAGGCCUCGCGCGAUCGGAGCGGCCGAUGUCAGAUGAGGUAGUUGGUGGGGUAAAGGCUCACCAAGCCAACGAUCUGUAGCUGGUCUGAGAGGACGACCAGCAACACUGGGACUGAGACACGGCCCAGACUCCUACGGGAGGCGGCAGUGGGGAAUUUUGGACAAUGGGCGAAAGCCUGAUCCAGCAAUGCCGCGUGCAGGAAGAAGGCCUUCGGGUUGUAAACUGCUUUUGUACGGAGCGAAAAGGUCUCCUCUAAUACAGGGGGCUCAUGACGGUACCGUAAGAAUAAGCACCGGCUAACUACGUGCCAGCCGCCGCCGUAA